rnacentral:SRP_RNA from 1 species
GCCAGGCAUGGUGGCUCAUGCCUGUAAUCCCAGCACUUUGGGAGGCUGAGGUGGGUGGAUCACUUGAGGCCAGGAGUUCAAGACCAGCCUGGCCAACAUAGUGAAACCUCGUCUCUA